UACGGGGGGGGCAAGCGUUGUUCGGAAUUACUGGGCGUAAAGGGUUCGUAGGUGGCCUACUAAGUCAUACGUGAAAUCCCUCAGCUUAACUGGGGAGGGUCGUGCGAUACGGGCGAACUCGAGGCCAGUAGGGGGACGCGGAAUUCCGGGUGUAGUGGUGGAAUGCGUAGAGAUCCGGAGGAACACCAGCGGCGAAGGCGGCGUCCUGGACUGGUACUGACGCUCAGGAGCGAAAGCGUGGGGAGCGAUCCGG
rnacentral:rRNA from 1 species